UACGGAGGGUGCGAGCGUUGUCCGGAAUCACUGGGCGUAAAGGGUGCGUAGGCGGACUCUUAAGUCAGGGGUGAAAGCCUGAGGCUCAACCUCAGAACUGCCUUUGAUACUGAGAGUCUCGAGACCGGAAGAGGUAAGUGGAACUGCGAGUGUAGAGGUGAAAUUCGUAGAUAUUCGCAAGAACACCAGUGGCGAAGGCGGCUCACUGGCCCGGUACUGACGCUGAGGUGCGAAAGCGUGGGGAGCAAACAGGG
rnacentral:rRNA from 1 species